UGAGCUCCUGCAGAACGUCUCUGGCCUUGUCCUCCAGUCCAUCCAGAUCCUGAGCUUUCUCCGCCAGAAUGUUCUGAUUUUCCACGAACGAUCGCUCCAGCUCUGGGAGAGUUAAAGGGGAAGAAAAGUGAGGAAUCGCAGCUGCUCGGCCUUCUGACGCGCAUCAACUACACCUGCUGCCUUCUGAUCUAUCAGACCACUGGCCAGUUGGUACUUCGGCUGCACAAGUGAGUCAAACUCCUAAAAUACGCACACACAAAAAAUCCACCUGUGAGGCUCGAAAGCGUGCAAGAGAGUAUAAUAUGUAUUCAAGAACAUCAUGUAUUUAAUGCCUGUGUCAUUUCUCAUUUUUCAACAUUUUCCUAACACUUUAUGUUCCCCAAAACAAUGUUUUCCAAUACCUAAAUUAAAACCAUGUUCAGCAUAGCA